rnacentral:rRNA from 1 species
ACGAACGCUGGCGGCAUGCCUAACACAUGCAAGUCGAACGAGACCUUCGGGUCUAGUGGCGCACGGGUGCGUAACGCGUGGGAACCUGCCCUUAGGUUCGGAAUAACUCCCCGAAAGGGGUGCUAAUACCGGAUAAUGUCUUCGGACCAAAGAUUUAUCGCCUUUGGAUGGGCCCGCGUUGGAUUAGCUAGUUGGUAGGGUAAAAGCCUACCAAGGCGACGAUCCAUAGCUGGUCUGAGAGGAUGAUCAACCACACUGGGACUGAGACACGGCCCAGACUCCUACGGGAAGCAGCAGUGGGGAAUAUUGGACAAUGGGCGAAAGCCUGAUCCAGCAAUGCCGCGUGAGUGAUGAAGGCCUUAGGGUUGUAAAGCUCUUUUACCCGGGAUGAUAAUGACAGUACCGGGAGAAUAAGCUCCGGCUAACUCCGUG